rnacentral:misc_RNA from 1 species
GAAAUGCGAUACUUGGUGUGAAUUGCAGAAUCCCGUGAACCAUCGAGUCUUUGAACGCAAGUUGCGCCCGAAGCCAUUAGGCCGAGGGCACGCCUGCGUUCUUCAUCGAUGCUCCAGUAUCGGAA